UUUCGAUCUGUCAAAAAUAAGUCUACUCCAGAGGAGACUUAUUUUUGACAGAUCGUGAAUCAUUCGCAUCCAGUGGAACAUCGCUAGAUUGUUAUCAUCAAGUUAAUCUGAUUGGCAUUACAUACGGGCAUUACGUUUUGAGGACUGAUUUUUUCUAUUUAAAAUGGAACCACAAAAUAAGAAAAUAAGCCGAAAAGCAUUGCAGUGCAGACGAUAGGUUUAGCAAGCGGCAUUUGCUCGGACUUCAUUAUAAAAUCUGUCGCUGAAACCUCACGUUAUCGGCCGAGAUGAUCCCGCAGAGCAUUUUUUAAGUUUUCGAGUGGGCGAUGGUUGCAGACGAGAGUGGUUAAAAGAGUAAACUGCAUGAUGCUGAGUUUCCCGAGGAGUUGCUUCAAACAGAAAUCUCGAAAAGCACUAUUACCACACCACCAAACGAAGAAAAGUGCAGUUUCGGCGGAGUCAGGAGCAAACAAUCGCGCAUAAACCAUGCUCAGCACGUUGUGGGUGGAUCUACUUUGUUUGAGGCAGAUAUUCCACAGAUAGUGCGAAUUCCAACGUUCAGGAAAAUAUGUAGGGGAUCAUCGAAAGCUCUUCUCGCUAUAAAGAAGCCUGCUUUCUUUUUAAAAGAAAAGGAACAGAAAAGAAUGGCCAAUAGGGAAAUCGUUUCCAUUCGUAAAACCAAAUUUACCAACAUUGAAACUCAAAACGGAAGCAGUGGGUUCUGGCGUUACGGUUUAACGGUGACAUAGCUUGUUUCUCAACUCAUUAUUCUCUGGGAACAUCUACAACUAUUAAAUAUGAACUGUAUUUGCCAAUUGGUCAUUGUAUCAUAUGUCGAAUGCCAGUCACAGGGCUGGUAGCAAGUCUCUUUUAAGAGAUUGAAUAUUUUAAUACGAGUUUCCAUAAAGUUUCUAUUAUCAAUCGCAGAUCUUCAAAAUUUCU